GGAAUAUUGGACAAUGGGCUAAAGCCUGAUCCAGCCAUCCCGCGUGCAGGAUGACGGCCCUAUGGGUUGUAAACUGCUUUUAUCAGGGAAGAAACCCUUGGAUUCACUCCGCGGCUGACGGUCCCUGAGGAAUAAGCACCGGCUACCUCCGUGCCAGCAGCCGCGGUAAUACGGAGGGUGCAAGCGUUAUCCGGAUUUACUGGGUUUAAAGGGUGCGCAGGCGGGUUUGUAAGUCAGUGGUGAAAGCCUGGAGCUUAACUCUGGAACUGCCAUUGAUACUGCAUACCUUGAGUACAGUUGAGGUGGGCGGAAUGCAGCAUGUUGCGGUGAAAUGCUUAGAUAUGCUGCAGAACACCGAUUGCGAAGGCAGCUCGCUAAACUGUAACUGACGCUGAGGCACGAAAGCGUGGGGAGCGAAC
rnacentral:rRNA from 1 species